CUCUACUCUAGUGACUUCUAAUUAUGUGAUUUAUGAUCCCCUCAAAUCUAGCUCCUCUCCAAGGUGGAAAUUGAGGAGUUCUUAAAAUUUUCAAAGUACACCCUCUUUAGCCAUUAUUCAAGGAACCAGAAGUCAUUUCAACUUAAUUGUGAAAGAGAGGAAAAGGUGGCCAGGAAAAAAAAAAGCAAAAAAGCUCCAGAUUACAGUCUUUGGCUUUCCUCUGGGGUGACUAGGAUCAUCACAUGGAUUUUGAAGAGGCUGGAACUCUCCAAUAUUCUACUAAUUUGACUAUCAGAAAUUCAGAUUCACAGAAAGAAGGAGGAGGUGACUACUGUGAUUUCAGAAAGAGAAGAGCCUACAGACAAGUGGGU
rnacentral:lncRNA from 1 species